UUCUGUACAUCUGUGUCUCUUUUUCUGUUUUGCAUAUAGGGUUAUCAUUACCAUAUUUCUAAAUCCCAUAUAUAUGUGUUAGUAUGCUGUAAUGUUCUUUAUCUUUCUGGCUAACUUCACUCUGUAUAAUGGGCUCCAGUUUCAUCCAUCUCAUUAGAACUGAUUCAAAUGAAUUCUUUUUAAUGGCUGAGUAAUAUUCCAUUGUGUAUAUGUACCACAGCUUCCUUAUCCAAUCAUUAGCAAUACUGUAUUGUAUAUAUGAAAUGAGUUAAGGGAGUGGAUCUUAAAAGUUCUCAUCUCAAAAUUAAAAAGUUGUAACUAUGUGAGGGGAUGACCAUUAACUAGCGGUCUUGUGGUGAUCACUUCACAAUAUAAUUAUUACAUUGUAUGCCUGAGAUAAAAGAAAAUGAAUUUAAAGCAGGGCAAAAAAAAAGUAACAUAAAUUUUUCUCUGCCAUUUGGACCACUCACCACCCUCCUCUUUAGCGUACAUUGCAUAUCUAUAUUCCACAUUAACUAGUUCUCCUUAGAAGACACAGGAAUACCAACUCAUCAAACAAACAAAUGAACAAAACAAUUUCCUUUUAGUGCUAGCAAGGUAACUCUUUAGGAGAAAACAUGCCCUCCUUAAUCCUAUAAGGUUAUCACAAUGACCCACCACUCACUUUGGCCUAUGUAAGUUGCUGGCAUUACUCUGAUACAUAAACUUUUGAUGUAUAACCCUCUACCUCAAAAACUCAUAUAACUGUGCUUUGAUUUCUAAUGGGAGGACUUUUUACAGAACUUUCUAAAAAACUGUCUCCCAGGUUAUAAUCUUAAUGUUGGCUCAAUUAAAAUUUUCAAUUUUUUUCUACAGAUUAACAAUAUUCUGUUGACACCUAAAAUUCAUACAAAGUAACAUGUCAAUUAUAUCUUUAAAAAACUAACUGAAUAAUGCAAGCAGAACAUGGCUGAUAGGGCCCACAUGGGGUCUCAUUGAUAAGAUGGCUCAUUAUUUGUGGUGUAGCUAUUAAACCAUCAACCCCCAUAAGAGAGAACUGAGAGACCUUGGUUUUUCCAGAGUAGGAAGAGUAAAUGCCCCUGUGUCAAUGAGAAAGGAGAUUGGCUUACCUGCCACUCUAAGAGUUACCCUGGGCUUCAUAGAGGUGAUGAGAGUUGGGGCCUGGGGCCCUGGGCACCUUCAGACUUCAGAGGCAAGUCUGAGGAGGCUGAGCAGAGCCGGGUCAGAGGACGCCUGCUCGGGACCAAGAGGGGAAUGUCCGGAUCCCUGGAGGGGGACUUGGGCAGUCGACCUUCCAAUGUCCCUUUAUGCCACAGCUGGGGCAUGGACCUGGAGGGGGCCUUGGCUUUAGGCAUGAGCGGGCCCAGUGGCCUUCUUUGCCACGUUUGAAGCAGGGACCCGUUGGCUUCCUUUCUUUGUUGGUUGACGGAGGCUUGGAGCCAUGUAGGGCAGUGGCUAAAAGGUGGUAUUUGGCCUGAUCUGGUUGGGCCUUCUCUAGCUUUGCCUGUUCUCGAUUAUCGGAAAUCUCAAAGGCUAAAUUUAAAAGGUCUCAUUGAGGGAUCUGAGGGCCUUCUGUCUUUUUUAGUUUCUUUCAGAUAUCUGGGGAUGACUGGGAGAUAAAAUGGGUGUUAAGGACAAUGGUGCCCUCUGCUGAGGUGGGGUCUAAUUUUGCAUAUUUUUGUAGUGCUUCCGUUAACCUGGAGAGAAAUUGUGCCAUGUUUUCAUCUAGUCUUUGAGUUAUUUCCUGCAGCUUAUCGAAGUCGAUGGCUUUAUGCCCUGCCUUUUGAAGGUCCACAAUGAGGCAAGCAGUCAUAUGACUAUGGGCUGCUCACCCCGGUCUCCCUGCCUGAUAAUCCCAGUUGGGACCAUCUCAGGGGACAGCCGUUGACCUUACAGGCUUAAUGUCCUGUGUAUCUCACCAGCGUGCGGCUGAGAGGCUUGCCAUACUCCAUACUCCUUCCUUCUCUUCUGGAAGAAGAGUGGAGGAAAGUGUGAUGUAAAUAUCAUGCUAGGUUAAGUGGUAAGACUGGGUAAGAGCCUUGAAUUCUUUUAGUAAUUAUCUGGGUCUGAGGAGGAAGAGCCAAGACACUUUCCAAUCUGAGAUAGAAGAUGAGGGAGAAUGGGACGUGAACCCGGACAGUGCCUUCUCCUCCAGCUGCUUCAGGUAAAGGCAGGCGUGGAGCCGGGGCAGGAGCGGGGUCCUGGGGUGAAGUUUCCUGCUUUAAAGUUGUUCGGAGAGGGGAUCUAGGGAGGUCAGGGUAAAGCCUUGGAACCCUCAGGGCAGAGGGUGGGGCUGAGGUCUGAAGCGUGUCUGAGGCUCGGGCAGGGAGGGGUGUUGGGAGCGGCCUGCCCUUGAGAAGGAGGGAGGGAGGAGGGGAGGUAAGGUGGAGGUUGUGGAGCUGGAUCUGGAGAGGCUGCAAGGGGAUUGGGAGCGAUAGGCGGUGGGCUGUGGUCGGAAAGGUGGAAGGAAGAAGAAAAGUCUGAACAAGGAUCAGGAGACAUUGUAUUAGGAGGAUGUGGCCCAGAGUGGGCCGAGAGUAUUUGAGAAGUAGAAGGGGAUUCACAGAGAGCGAAGAGCAAAGAAAGCCUGAACAUAAGGGACUUCUAACCACUUGCUCUUGCGGCACCAGAAGUUAUCGCGCUCCGGUCGAGUAUUAUAAUCAAGAGUUCCUUUUUCUGGCCACAGGGACCUGUUAUCAAGUCGGUUUUGCGGCCAGUGUUAGAAUAGUGAAACUUUGAAUAUCCCAAACAACUCUGUCCUGGCCUGCCGAGUCUCUACUGUUGGACACUCAGUUGUGUCCAACACUUUGCAACCCCAUGGACUACAUCACGCCAGCCUUCACCAUCCUUCACCAUCUCCCAGAGCUUGCUCAAACUCACGUCCAUAGAGUCAGUAAUCCCAUCCAACCAUCUCAUCCUCUGUCAUCCCCUUCUCCUCCUGCCCUCAAUCCUUCCCAGCAUCAGGGUCUUUUCAAAUGAGUCAUCUCUUUGCAUCAGGUGGCCAAAGUAUUGGAGUUUCAACUUCACCAUCAGUCCUUCCAAUGAACAUAUAGAAUUGAUUUCCCUUAGGAUGAACUGGUCGGAUCUCCUUGCAGUCCAAGGAACUCUCAGGAGUCUUCUACGACAUCACAGUUCAAAAACAUCAAUUCCAGGGCUCAGUUUUCUUUAUAGUCCAACUCUCACAUCCACACAUGCCUACUGGAAAAACCAUAACCUUGACUAGAUGGACCUUUGCUAGCAAGGUAGAGAUGGCGGAGAACACAAUCACCAAAGCAAUGACAUCCUACCAUGUACCUGAAGAUGUGUUAUUAUGCUCUAGCAGAGAUAUCACAUCUGAAACAGAGACUAAGAGUAGAGUGAAUUCUUGGAUGAGUUUGCAGGAGUCCACUACCAGAUAUGAGGGGCUCAGAUAUGAUGGAGCUAAUCAUUGUGCCUUUUUUUUUUUAACUCUUUAAAAUCUUUAAUUUGCACCAUCCACAGAAAUGUGAUCUUUUUUUCUGUUUGUGUUUGGUUUGGAUAAGGGUGGUGAUAAGGAGGACUCUUUCAAAGAUACAGUAGGCUGAAUAGUGGACAUCCCAAAGUAUAACUCCCAGAAACUAUGAAAUUGAUUUUCUAUGGAGAAAGGAUCCUUGAAAUGCAAAGGCUUACCUCGUUUUGUUGUGUUUUGCUUUAUUGUACAUCACAGAUAUUGGCUUCUUACAAAGUGAAUAUUUGUGACAACCCUGAGUGAAUUAAGUCAGUCCAUGCCAUUUACCAAUAGCCUUUGCUUAUAUGCUUGUGUUACAUUUGAGUAAUUCCUGCAAUAUUUGAAACUUUCAUUAUUAUUAUAUUUGUUAUGGUGAUCUAUGGUCAGUGAUCUUUGAUGUUACUGUUUUACUUUGGGGGAAGGUGCACUAGAAAACCUUACCCAUAUGAGAUAAUGAAAUUAAUCCAUAAAUAUAUAUGUUCUAAUUGGUCCAUCAACUGGCUGUUCCUCUAUGUCCCUCUCAUCAGAUUUCCCUCUUCUCUGAGAUACAACAAUAUCUAUUUUAUUUUAUUUUAAAAUUUCUUGAAUAGCUGCUUCUUUUCUGUUAGUUAAUUUUAUUGGAGCAUAGUUGCUUUACAGUGAUGCAUUAAUUUCUACUGUACAGCAAAAUAAAUCAGCUAUACAUAUACAUAUAUCCCUUCUAUUUUGGAUUUCCUUCCUAUUUAGGUUACCACUGUGCACUGAGUAAAAUUUCCUAUACUAUAUAAUAGGCUCUCAUUAAUUAUCUACUUCAUACAUAGUAUCAACAAUGUAUAUAUCUCAAUGCCAAUUGUC